CGGGGUGCAGCAGUGGGGAAUAUUGCACAAUGGGCGCAAGCCUGAUGCAGCCAUGCCGCGUGUAUGAAGAAGGCCUUCGGGUUGUAAAGUACUUUCAGCGGGGAGGAAGGGAGUAAAGUUAAUACCUUUGCUCAUUGACGUUACCCGCAGAAGAAGCACCGGCUAACUCCGUGCCAGCAGCCGCGGUAAUACGGAGGGUGCAAGCGUUAAUCGGAAUUACUGGGCGUAAAGCGCACGCAGGCGGUUUGUUAAGUCAGAUGUGAAAUCCCCGGGCUCAACCUGGGAACUGCAUCUGAUACUGGCAAGCUUGAGUCUCGUAGAGGGGGGUAGAAUUCCAGGUGUAGCGGUGAAAUGCGUAGAGAUCUGGAGGAAUACCGGUGGCGAAGGCGGCCCCCUGGACGAAGACUGACGCUCAGGUGCGAAAGCGUGGGGAGCAAACAGGAUUAGAUACCCGAGU
rnacentral:rRNA from 1 species